rnacentral:rRNA from 1 species
UACGUAGGGACCAAGCGUUGUUCGGAUUUACUGGGCGUAAAGAGCGCGCAGGCGGUCGUGCAAGUCGCGUGUGAAAGCCCCCGGCUCAACUGGGGAGGGUCACGCGAUACUGCUCGACUUGAAGGCAGGAGAGGGAAGCGGAAUUCCCGGUGUAGUGGUGAAAUGCGUAGAUAUCGGGAGGAACACCAGUGGCGAAGGCGGCUUCCUGGCCUGUUCUUGACGCUGAGGCGCGAAAGCUAGGGUAGCAAACGGG